AUUUUUUUUUAUUUUUAAUAUGGGAACGCAUGCAUACAUUCUGAAACAUGAAAUUAUGAGUUCUCAGAUAAUAGCAUUAAUUCAAUAUUGAAAUUUGGCGUCGUCAAGAAACUCAAAAAGGAAAUAAAUAUGGCGAGCAAAACUCGAUCCUUUGUUGAUUGUCCACUGGUAUAUAAGCCAGCAAAUCCAGCCAAAACAUCAAUAUUGGCUCAAUCAACUAAAGGAAUGACUACCUCAGAUGGGUUGUGAGAGCUAUGGAAACACAAUUACCCGUUGGAUUCAGAAAAAAAAACUUUGAGAUUUGAACCAAGCCCUUGACUUUUAGAAUACAUUGGGAUCAAGGCACUAACAAUCCAACGGAUACAGAAUGUUAGCUAUUUACAUUAUUAUGCAAGGUUCACGUAAAUCACCACUGUGUGCCUAGAACCCUAGGUGAAGUUCAUUAAGAUCUAUUUAAGUACUGGAGACUCUAGUCUAUUAAUAAAAACCUA
rnacentral:misc_RNA from 1 species